UACGGGGGGAGCAAGCGUUGUUCGGAUUUACUGGGCGUAAAGGGCGCGUAGGCGGUCACGACAAGUCAGUUGUGAAAUCUCCGGGCUUAACUCGGAACGGUCAACUGAUACUGUCGGACUAGAGUGCAGAAGGGGCAACUGGAAUUCUCGGUGUAGCGGUGAAAUGCGUAGAUAUCGAGAGGAACACCUGCGGCGAAGGCGGGUUGCUGGGCUGACACUGACGCUGAGGCGUGAAAGCUAGGGGAGCAAACAGG
rnacentral:rRNA from 1 species